UUCAGAGGGAGCCAACAGCAAAACAAGUCGUCACCCACCGACUGACAAUGAACUGUAGAGGAGCACCAGCGGCCCAGCACACAGCCAUUUUACUGUCCAACGUUACACUGUGGAAACUGACCGCCGAGCAGCUUUUUAAAGGCUGUUUAUCCUACUGGAGGAGAACAGAACCGGCUCCUCGGUUCGUGCUUUUUAAAAGAAGGAGCUGUUUCUUUCUACAGAAGCCGCGGUCGCUCUCUGGCCGCCAUGUUUCUACAGUAGCCUUUUGCAACUAUUUCAAAAAACACCUGAAGCCUCCCGGAAGUGGACCACAAAGUAGCCAAACAGACUUUCCUCCAUAAGGUUCCUUUGUGGAAAAAAGCGGCUGUAAAAUUGAUUUGAAUGUCACAACCCGCACAAACUGACUCUGAUUCACUAUCAGAGGUUUAUCUAUCAGAACUUUUCUUCUGAAUAAAGCUGCUCGCGGCUGUUGGAAACUGGCUGGGCUGAAAUGAAUCUUACAAUAGAUAAGUAAGAACUAAGGGUGAUUUGAUUCAUUGUUCAUACAGUUAAUUGUGGAAAGUUUGCCAUCAUGGUUAGAAGAAACCAAGGUUUACUGUUGGUAGCAGAUGGGACACAAACAUUACAUCUACCCACAACACCUUGGCCCUCUUGGCACCAUACGACCAUCGCUUUACUUGACACAGAACAUCCUUUCUACCAAAUGCUGUUGUUUGUCCCUAAAGGAAAAACAACAGCAGUUGGAUAAAAUAAAGUAUUCUGGAGGGAAGAUGAACUCCGAUCCAUCACACGAGAGGUGUCCCUUUUUAAUUUGCGCCAGACAGUGUGACUGGUAUUGAAAACAGGCUUCAUGUAGCUUCAUAAGAUAACUUUAUUGUCUGUCACAAAGUAACAGAAAUUUUCAUUUGACACUCAAAAGACGCGCACACACACACACACACACACACACACACACACACACACACACACACACACACACACA